rnacentral:misc_RNA from 1 species
GAUGAAGAACGUAGCGAAAUGCGAUAAGUAAUGUGAAUUGCAGAAUUCAGUGAAUCAUCGAAUCUUUGAACGCACCUUGCGCUCUUUGGUAUUCCGAAGAGCAUGCCUGUUUGAGUGUCAUGAAAAUAUCAACCUUGACUUGGGUUUUGUGCUCUAGUCUCGGCUUGGAAUUGGGUGCUUGCCGCUUUUACGAGCGGCUCACCUUAAAUGUAUUAGCUGGAUCUGUCUUUGAGACUUGGUUUGACUUGGCGUAAUAAGUAUUUCGCUAAGGACAUUCUUCGGAGUGGCCUCGUUUCUAGGACGCUUGUCCGCUUUCCAAUACAAGUUCCACCUCGUGGACAUGACUUUUUAUUAUCUGGCCUCAAAUCAGGUAGGACUACCCGCUGAACUUCAGCAUAUCAAUAAGCGGAGGA